AGAGAGAGAGGACUUUACCUCGAGUGGAGAUUGCAGCGAAAUGUGCACUGCGAUGCGUCCACUGCUUCGCUCUUCCUCUGCCCUCCCGGACUCCUCGCUCUGAUGUGCGAUGCCGGGCCGUGGGGGCUGUCGUGCACGUGGUGGCCUGUACUCCAGCACUGUGGAGGCAGCGAGGGUCGGUGGAUCGCACAAACGUUGUGACACUUCCUUCCCGUGGGCGUAGACGAAGAGCCGGUGCGUGACGUCAUUUAUGGACGGCCCCAAAGCACUCCCACCAGUGGCGAGGACGUGGAGGCGGGCUCACGUAGCGGCAAAGCUGUGCGCAACAUUCAGACCAACGCCGCACUCCACUGCAGGCAAACAAAAACGUUCAAUUUCCCCAUUGACAUUCACCGCGAUGCGAGCACGAGCCGAGGAUGCGCCUGUCGCACGAUUAGCUCCGAAAUGAAAUGUUUAAGCCGCUCCGAUAAACGCUCCUAA